GUCAAAAUGCACAAGGACAUCUAUUUUCCAAAAAAAAGCACAAAUCUAUGAUGGCACAAUAACUCAGAUAAAACCCAGGCUGCAUUCUUCAAGGAUUAUUGUGUCAUCGUCACUGAAUUGUUAACACCAGCAGGAGAAUAAGGUUAAAAGAAAGGCUAAAAUGGUACUAUUGCCAGGAUGAUGUUGAUGUCCUGGUCUCUUCUGGAUCCUGUUCCACCAGAUGCUGCUCUGUUGAAUGCUACCACACUGUAAUCUGCCAGAUGUUGUUCAGUUAUAAUCCUUACCACCUCCAGAUUCUGACUCAGUUGGAAUCAAUGGUUAUCUCUUCUAGAUAAACAAAAUGCAUAAAACUUCACCCCUCUCCGCUCUUUUAUAAAUGGCUUUUAUAAAUUUGCUAUAAGGUAAGCAAAGCAAUCUCCCUUAUUUUUUUUCUCUUAG
rnacentral:lncRNA from 1 species